rnacentral:rRNA from 1 species
UACGGGGGGAGCAAGCGUUGUUCGGAAUUACUGGGCGUAAAGGGCGCGUAGGCGGCCCGUCAAGUCCCGUGUGAAAGCCCCCGGCUCAACCGGGGAACGGCGCGGGAAACUAGCAGGCUUGAGUUCGGGAGAGGGAAGCGGAAUUCCGGGUGUAGCGGUGAAAUGCGCAGAUAUCGGGAGGAACACCAGUAGCGAAGGCGGCUCGCUGGGCCAUUCCUGACGCUGAGACGCGAAAGCUAGGGGAGCGAACAGG